GGACGAACGCUGGCGGCGUGCUUAACACAUGCAAGUCGAACGGAAAGGCCCUGCUUUUGUGGGGUGCUCGAGUGGCGAACGGGUGAGUAACACGUGAGUAACCUGCCCUUGACUUUGGGAUAACUUCAGGAAACUGGGGCUAAUACCGGAUAGGAGCUCCUGCUGCAUGGUGGGGGUUGGAAAGUUUCGGCGGUUGGGGAUGGACUCGCGGCUUAUCAGCUUGUUGGUGGGGUAGUGGCUUACCAAGGCUUUGACGGGUAGCCGGCCUGAGAGGGUGACCGGCCACAUUGGGACUGAGAUACGGCCCAGACUCCUACGGGAGGCAGCAGUGGGGAAUAUUGCACAAUGGGCGGAAGCCUGAUGCAGCAACGCCGCGUGCGGGAUGACGGCCUUCAGGUUGUAAACCGCUUUCGCCUGUGACGAAGCGUGAGUGACGGUAAUGGGUAAAGAAGCACCGGCUAACUACGUG
rnacentral:rRNA from 1 species